rnacentral:rRNA from 1 species
AACGAGCGCUGGCGGCAUGCCUAACACAUGCAAGUCGAACGAGACCUUCGGGUCUAGUUGCGCACGGGUGCGUAACGCGUGGGAACCUGCCCUUAGGUUCGGAAUAACUCCCCGAAAGGGGUGCUAAUACCGGAUAAUGUCUUCGGACCAAAGAUUUAUCGCCUUUGGAUGGGCCCGCGUUGGAUUAGCUAGUUGGUAGGGUAAAAGCCUACCAAGGCGACGAUCCAUAGCUGGUCUGAGAGGAUGAUCAGCCACACUGGGACUGAGACACGGCCCAGACUCCUACGGGAGGCAGCAGUGGGGAAUAUUGGACAAUGGGCGAAAGCCUGAUCCAGCAAUGCCGCGUGAGUGAUGAAGGCCUUAGGGUUGUAAAGCUCUUUUACCCGGGAUGAUAAUGACAGUACCGGGAGAAUAAGCUCCGGCUAACUCCGUG